GGCGGCCCGAGUGGUAACCGUUUUUAUUGGGUUUAAAGGGUCCGUAGCCGGCUUACUAAGUCUCUUGGGAAAUCUGGCGGCUCAAUCGUCAGGCGUCCAAGAGAUACUGGUAGGCUUGGGACGGGGAGAGGUGGGAGGUACUCCAGGGGUAGGGGUGAAAUCUCGUAAUCCUUGGGGGACCACCGAUGGCGAAGGCAUCCCACCAGAACGGGUCCGACGGUGAGGGACGAAAGCUGGGGGCACGAACCG
rnacentral:rRNA from 1 species